UGCUAACAGAGAUGCUAACCUUACCACAGGGGCCGCGUUUCAUUGGCUGAUGCCCGCUCUACGUAGUAGCGCGGCUCCCACGUGCGUGGCCGUCUCACAAACACAAGCUAAUGUAGCCAGACUGCAUUGUGGACUUGCAGACCGGCAGAAAGUUUUCGCAGCAACAAUCGAAACGGAAUGGUUCUUCAUUGCCAGUGGGGUAUCUGUACUGGUGACGUCAGGUAUCGUGAUCGUAUUUGUGGUGGUAAAAUUCACAGAUUUCCAAAAUCAGAAGCAGAUUGUCUUGCUUGGAUCAGAGCUUGUGCACGACCGCAUGAGCAGCUCAACCUGAGUAGGAUCAACAAGAACAAAGGAGUGUGUGCUGGUCAUUUUGUCGGCGGGGAUGGGCCAACAGCGUCCCAUCCUUAUCCCACACAAGCAGAAGGAGUGCACAAAGCAAGGCCUGCCCGAAAAAGAGCAUCAGAAAGAGCGAGUAGACAAGACAGGAUUGGAGCAGAGAACUUGGAUACUUACGAUGCUGCGGUGAGCAAUGACGCAGACAAAGGGAUAGAGGUGCAAACAGAUGAACAGUGGAUUUCGCCGCUGGAUAUGCUGGCACUGACUGCAGAGUUGGAAAUGGCAAAAUCAGAAAUCAUCCGCUUACAAGCAAAAGUGGAACAUUUAGAAACAAACCUACAGAAAGAGAAGACGGCCGUACGGCAAGAACAGAAACGAAAACAAUUUGGAAGUCCAAAGUGCUGGAGAAAGGAAAGGACGAUGGAGGAGCCACCAGAUGGUGUGCAGACCGACUCUCAGCUUUAUGCAGAUAUCCAGCAAGUGUUGGUGGUCAAAGAGGAGAUGGUUGUUGAGGAGGAUGACUGGAGUCCCAGAGCAGACCAGGAGGACCAGAAGCCUCCUCAGAUUAAAGAGGAAGAAGAAGAGAAUGAGAUCACAGAGUUAACUUUCAGUCCUCUUCAUGUGAAGAAUGAAGACGAUGAAGAGAUACCUCAGCUGUCAGAGCUUCUUCCCAGUCAGACUGAGGGGAACAGAGACUCUGUGGAAUCAGAUGAUGACAAAAUUUCAAAUUGUUCUUCAGAGACGGACGUCAGUGAUGGAAACUGGGAGGAAAGUGAAGCUCAGUCAAGUUUAGACUCUGUCAAAAAUUACGCCAUUCCUGUUGGUGAUAGAAAAUGUGGCAAAAGUAAAAAGUUACACAUCUGUCCCGACUGCGGAAAAACAUUCAGAAGCAGGCAAGGUUGGUUAGGACACCACAGAAUUCACACCGGAGAAAAUCCUUUCAGCUGCUCCAUCUGCAACAAAACCUUUUCUUCAAAAGGAAACUUGCAAAAACAUUCAAAGGUCCACACAGGGGAAAGACCAUUCAAAUGUUCUAUCUGUGGCGUGGCUCUUAAAAGGAAAAACUCACUAAUUGAACACACAAGAAUCCACACUGGGGAGAAGCCAUUUCAUUGUUCUGUCUGUGGCCGAAGCUUUGGUUUCAGCUCGUAUCUAAAAGUUCACAUGAAGUGUCACUCUGAAGAAAAACCUUACAGCUGUUCUCUUUGUGCUGCUAGUUUCAAGAGGAAAAAUACUUUAUUGGCACAUGUAAAAACCCAUACUGGGGAGAAGGCUUACAGUUGCACAGUAUGUGGAAAAAUGUUCAAGUGGAAAGAAAGUGAAAUCCGACAUAUGAGAUCUCAUACAAAAGAAAAACCAUUCAGCUGUGCCAUCUGUCAAAGGAACUUUCCUUCCAAGAGAACCUUGAAAGAACACGCUAAGAUCCACUUAGAGAACAGACCUUUCAAAUGUUCUGUCUGUGACGCUGCUUUUAAGAAAAAGAGAACGUUGUCAGAACACGUAAAAAUCCACACGGGAAAAAAGCCUUGCAGUUGUCGGGUCUGUGGCCAGAAUCUCAGUUCCAAAUCAUAUUUAACUGUUCACAUGAGAAGUCACACAGGAGAGAAACCUUACAGCUGUUCUGUCUGUAAGGCCACUUUCAAAUGGAAGAAAACAUUUUUGAAACACUCAAAAAUCCAUGCAGCUCAAUAAUGAAGUCUGUGAGAAUGGACUAGUUAUGUUGUUUUCAGGUUUAAUACAUCAAAAUACUUGAAAUGUUAUUUCCAUAUACCUUAGGGGAAUUUCCCCCAGAAAUUAUCAUGUGAAGUCUUUGUACAGCCUUGUUGCUGAAAUGUAAUCUACAAAUAAACUUGACGUGAUUUAAAAUUGAUGUUUCAUCAAGACACCUUUGUUCCAGAGCACCAAGAUUAAUGUUACAAAUUCCAGAAGUUGAUCAACUUCAUGUUAAACAUAAUCAGUGUUUUAUAUUAAUAUUUUAAAUGUCUUUAUUGAGAGCACAGCGAAGCCAAAGUCAGUUCUUGAUUUGUGUUGUUGAAUAUAGUUGAUUCUGAUUGUGAUGUAUCUAAAUCUUUGUUUGAUUUAUCACAGGGAAGCUAAAUGUUGAAACUUUUUCCAGAUUUUUAAUGAAUGUGAAGGUGAAUGGUGAACCAGGUCUUUGUCGCUUACAGAGUGAGAUGUUUUCGUGUUUUAGUUUAGCAUAGAAUAUGCAGUUUUCCCAGUGAUUGUUGGUACAUGCAAAUGAAAGCUAGCAUAAGAAUUUUAAUCACUUUCUAAACGACAGCUAUUAUGAUUAAAAUUAGUUUCUUACUUCCUGCCAUUUUCAGAUUUGACUUUAUUUACUUAUUUAUAAUGACACUGAAUUAUAAACAAUGUCUAUUCCUUAUCCAACUUGCUUGGUUAAGUUUUUUCAUAAGUUUUUAUCAUCUACAGAAGUAAUAAUUUGUUAAAGCAUUAGCCAAGUGGCCUUAAUAGAAAAUGUCCAAAGAACUUUGCUUGUUUUAAAAGAAAAAGUUUGAACACAAACCUUCUUGGACUUUCUUUAAAAUUUCAAAUAUUGUAAAACGUGACAAAUAUGUUUGUCAGUCAAUGAUUUCAACCUGUUCACCAUUUACCAUCACUUUGUCUUCUGAUCUUUCCAAAUAAGCCACGACUUCCUCAGUAAUGUUGAGAUUUAUUUCGAGCUUUUAUUAUGAAGGCCAAUCCGACCCGGUAACUAACGACCGGAAGUGACCUCCGACUGUCAACAGAAGCAACGCGGGCAAGUUUAGUUUCCUUUUUCCCUUCGGUGAAUGACGUUACGUCGUUGAAAGUGUCCUACGAGUGUAAUAGAUUCUAUUAAAGGAAGUCCAGAGUGCUGGAGAAAGGAAAGGACGAUGGAGGAGCCACCAGAUGGUGAGCAGACCGACUCUCAGCUUUAUGAUGUCCAGCAAGUGUUGGUGGUCAAAGAGGAGCUGGUUGUUGAGGAGGACGACUGCAGUCCCAGAGAAGACCAGGAGGACCAGAAGCCUCCUCAGAUUAAAGAGGAAGAGGAGGAGAAUGAGAUCACAGAGUUAACUUUCAAUCCUGUUCAUGUGAAGAAUGAAGAUGACAAAGAGAUGCCUCCGCUAUCAGAACUUCUUCCCAGUCAGACUGAGGGGAACAGAGACUCAGAUGAUGACAAAAUUUCAAAUUGUUCUUCAGAGACGGACGUCAGUGAUGGAAACUGGGAGGAAAGGGAAGCUCAGUCAAGUUUAGACUCUGUAGAUAAUGACGGCGUUCCUAUUGGUGAUAGAAAAUGUGGCAAAAGUAAAAAGUUACACAUCUGUCCUGACUGCGGAAAAACAUUCAGAAGCAGGCAAGGUUGGUUAGGACACCACAGAAUACACACCGGAGAAAAUCCUUUCAGCUGCUCCAUCUGCAACAAAACCUUUUCUUCAAAAGGAAACUUGCAAAAACAUUCAAAGGUCCACACAGGGGAAAGACCAUUCAGAUGUUCUCUAUGUGGUACAGCUCUUAAAAGUAAAAAUGCAUUAAUUGAACACACAAGAAUCCACACUGGGGAGAAGCCAUUCAGUUGCUCCGUUUGCGGCCGAAGCUUCAGUUUCAGGUCGUAUUUAACUGUUCAUAUGAAGUGUCACUCUGAAGAAAAACCUUACAGCUGUUCUCUCUGUACAGCAGCUUUCAAAAGGAAAAAUGUCUUAUUGGCACAUGUGAAAACUCACACUGGAGAAAAGCCUUACAGCUGCUCGGUCUGUGGGAAGAACUUUGCCCACUGUGUGAGUCUAACAUGUCAUAUGAGAAGUCACACAGGAGAGAGACCUUACAGCUGCUCCGUUUGUAAGGCGACAUUCAAGUGGAAAAAUACAUUCACACAUCAUAUAAAAAUCCAUACUGAUGACUAAGCUGCCAAAACUUGAGAGAUAAGAUUGUGUACCAGUCCUCAGUUCCAGGCUUUGAGGAACUUGGUUCAACACACCUCAAUUAAUUAAUUUCUUAAUUUGUGAUGCAUUUUAUGGUAUAUUUUGCCUUUGAACUAUCAGAAUAGACAAGUAAGCAUGUUUUUAGAGGAUCUCUCAAAUAUUCACAUGCGUUUUUGGUCCCUAAUAAAAACCGGUUUCCACCAUA